AAAAUUUUAAAAUUAAAAUAUCAAAUAUAAACUUAAAACAUUCUAAUCUUGAUAGAAAUUUCGUGUAUUUCUGAAACAGUUUAUUAGACUUAACUAGACAGUUUUAUUAUUUCUGUAUAUAACUAAAAAAGAAAUUAUUUUAAUUAGAAUUUUAAUUAAAAUAUAAUGCUCUACCUACAGUUACUGCACAUAAAAAGUGUGUCAAAUUAAUUUGAAUUCAUUUACUGAAUUCAGAAUAUAAAAGGUUAAUAAAUGGAUUAUUCAAUUGAUUAAUAAAGCAAGCUUGAAAGCUAGUUUAUUAAUACUAAGCAAUAACUGAGCAGUCGUCUAAACAUAUUUUUAUCAGAAAAACUGCUUAAUUGAAUAAAAUUCCAUCAAGUUUUUAUCAUUUUUUACAUAGUGUUGUCACAACUAAUAAGAAUGCUGAAGUAACUAAACAGUAAUUGAAUGGAUAGAAAAUAUAUACAUUUCUAUCUAUAUAAAAAACAUUUAAACUUUCUUGAAAUAUUUACCAGAUCUACAUAUUAGACCUAAUACUCGAGAAAUUUUGAAAGUGUAAUGUAAUCUUACUUUUUUCAUCUACAAUUAUAAAAAUUAAAAUAUUAUCUCAUCAAAUCAGUUUAAAAUCGCAGAACUUAUGAUACGUAAAAAUUCAUUCAAUCAUUCUUUUUCAUUCAACUGCCAAAAUUACUCGAAUAAACGUAAUGGUAUAACUUCCUCGCUUUGCCUUAUAUAAAACCGUAUUCCGUUUUCAUUUUUAUUUCAGAUCAUACUGUAGUAAGCUUGCUGAUGUUCCUCAUUAGUUCGACUCUCGAGAGAGCGUAGAAGUCCAAGGUAUCUAUUAAAUUCCGUACAUAACUUGUGGUACUAUGUCGAAAAUAGUCACAUAAGUGACGCUUCAUAAAGUGGUGUCGGCAAUCAGAAGUAAUUUAGUUGCACGAGUGAAGACGUAACGUAGUCUCAACCCAGCGGUGUAAUGAUGUCCAUUUACCAUGGAAUUCACAUGCUCACAAAAUUAAUGGCGUGUAUGAUUGGCGGGUCCAUUUAUGUUACAUCUCUUACAUAUUCAUGUAAAUUUGAAUAUUUUGUUAUAUUUUGAGCAAAUAUCUUACUCUGGAAAUUGGUGGUCCUAGUCAUUUUUGCCAGAAUUUUUUGUUUUAUAUUUAUUUAAUUCAUUUACUUCAAUUCAAUAUUUUAAUCAAUUAUUACUGUUAUCAUAUUUUUCCUUUUACAUUUUCUUUAAUGUUUUUUCAUUGUAUAUUCUCAGCAUUGGAAAAUUUCCUUAUUAAUUAUUAAUUAUUCAGUCAUAGUAUAUAUACGUGCCAAAAUAUAUUUUAAUCAAAACCGAAAUGCAUCUAUUUCUGGAUUAAACAUUUAAAUUGCUAUCAUAUAUAGCUACCUAGAAAAAUUACUAUGUAAUAGAUUUUUAAUCGUUUUAAUAGUCAUGCAAUUUUAUUAUUUUCGAUACCUAAAUAUUUGACAAAAGCAAUUAGUGAUAUAAAUUAACGUAUAUAAACAUAAAAAUAGUAUUUUCGUUUGAUCGUUUACGUUUAUAUGACGAUAGCUUAUAAUCAAAUAGAACAUGAUGUAAAAAACAGAGUACUUAUUUACGAAAAAAAUUUUUUUCAUGAAACAGUUCUUUAAUUUCAUAAAAAACAUUCUUUAAAUAUACCUGACCGGUAACGCAGAAUUCGGUCAACUCCGCGGCCUUGGCGUUUGUUUCCGGCAUAGGUAUUACAAUACGCUCGUCGUGUAGCGUCUGCAUUUACGCAAGGUCGCGCCACGCUAUCGGUCGUGGCGCCGGCACUCCGCGAAUCCUGGCUAAUGGCAAAGGGAUGUUACAUCGUAAGUUUUAAUUUCGGGAGUACCGUGUGAUGUGGAGAAUAUCGACACUGACAAUUAGCUUGUGUACGACUGUAAUUACCCGUGUCUUCGCGAGUGUUCAGUGAGUGCAACGAUUCCUGUCGACCCAUGCUGAAGAGGUGGACGGGAGGAGGAGGAGGAGGAGGAGGAAGAAGAAGAAGAAGAGGACGUUUACGCCGAGACAUCGAGUGGUGGUAAUUUUGGGAUAAAUAAUCAUUCGGAUAUUAUUUCUUACACAGAAUUAACCCACUUUUAAACUUGGAUUAUCAUUUGGGCGAUUCAAGAAGUAAGAAUUAGAGAAAAAGAUUUGUUGUUUGAUAAAAAUUUGUAAACGUUAUUCUUAACCUCUAAAUGGUACCAACAUAGUUUGUGGCGCAGUUUAUUCCGCUGUUGCUGAUCACAUCGGUGAGUGACGAAUUAAAAUUUAUUUUGAAUUAACAUAAUGAAUUCAUGAACAUGUUGAGUACGUAGAUGUAUGUGUUAAAGAAAGAUGCGUGAGCACUAUUAUAAAUAAAUAUAACAUCUCACAUCGUUGUCUUAAAAUAAAUAACUGGAAAAGACCAGGAUAAAUAUUUAAUCCUGAAUCCAUAAUUAUUUGUUGUGUAUAUGUAAUCCUAUAAAGCUCACAAAACAGCUCAUUUUCUUCGUAGCACCAUUUAUUAGCAUAUUCUGUGUUGUCCUAUACAAAACAGAGUUAAUUGCAAAAUGCAUCAGUUAUCUGAAAUUUAUAAAACAAUUCCGCACAUGCAAAUAUAUUGCAAAAAUAAAUGCAAACAAUUAGAAAGAAAUUAUGAGAGUAAUUACAUUUUUAUAGUGCUUUUAUUUAUAUUUAUUGAUAACAGGAUUUUAUCACAGUUAACAUAACUUAAAAUGAUGUGAAAUCCACGUUUUGAACAUUUUAUCACAGAAAAAUUGUGUAAUAUUUUGUAAAUUAAAAAAUGAAAAACUUGUGCAAAGAAAAGAGAAAAAUCAUACAAAUUGAAAUUUUAUAUUGGAUAAAAUUUUAGCUUAAAUCCAAAAUUUAGAAUGUAACCGAUAAUGUAAUAAGCUAAACAAUUUAACUAGAAAAAUUUAAAGCCAAGUUUAAAGCCAAGAUAAAUCUAAUCGCAGUAAUAAUCAAUAAAAACGAGAUAAUCUACAAGAAGAUAAGAGUUCUUAUAUAUUUUUCUCUCUGGUAAUCACGUUACCAGGAAUAAAAUUAAAUCUUAUAUCAACGUUUUGCAGCUGUAAAAAAUGUUCUGUGAAAGAAGCAAAAGAGAUUGAGAGCUCCUGCAGGAGAAUCAGCGAUAGAGGCAGUCAUAUUCUGUUUGCAAAGGAAAAGAUGUUCUUUGGUAGAAAAAUAUAGGAAAACGUGUCGUCUCCUUAUUUACAAGACGAGAGAUACGCAAGAAAAUAUUCCAUCCCCCCCCCCCUUUUUUUUUUUUUUUAACAACCGGUUAUAACAUACCGGAGAUAACAUACGAUUAUAGAUAUAUAUUAUAAAUAUAGAUAUAUAUUUCGCAUUCGGUGUACACAAGUGGCGAGGAAUAAAUUUAACGCGAAAAGGGAAGGAGAUGAAUGGAGAAUCGCGAACGUCUCUACCCAAUUAAAUUAGCACGUGAAAGGAUUAAGUCAUCAGUUACGAGACAUCAAAGUGCACUCUUAGUCACUUUGUGAACGGAAACAGGUGUGUAUAUGUGCAGGAUUUGUAAUGUUACAACAUGUAUGAUGCAGCUCGCGGGGAUCAUUCAGUCAGCCGGUGUGGGUCGGCCAAAGGGGGCCGACCUCUCAAGGCUUGUCAAUUGGAUUAGUUCAAGUUAGCACAACCUCGCGGACGGGAAUCUGGUCUCGCCGCGCAACCGUUCCGUACGUUAUCGUUUGCGAUCUCUUUGUGCGCGCGACAAACAGGGCGCCAGGGGGGCUUUGUAUGCCGAUUCCAAAUGUUUGUCUAGGACUUCAUAUCCCGCUGUUUACCGUGACCCAAAUAGACCAAAUAUCGAACAUCGUACGUUAUUGUAAUCCGAUGCUUCACGGUCCGCGUUACACCAUUGUUGCCGUUUGCAUACAUCGGUAAAUGCUCCCUUAUUUGCAUUUUGCGCGUGGACUAGCGGAACCAGUGCCUACUUUCUUCCAAAGUUUAUAUAUAUUUUUUUUGCACGUAGGAAAAUUAUUCGCGUUAUUGCAACUCGGCAUAUUUUAGAAAAUUAGCAUAAUGUCGCUGGAAAAAACGUAUUACAUUGCCAACGUUAUGACAUGUAAGGAAACGGUAAUGGUCCGUAUAAUAAAAGAGAUACGAAAUUUUACUGUAGAUGGUACACGCGCGCACAUAAUAGUAUAAUAGAGAACAUUACGCAUAUAUUUUGCUAUGAAAAAAAAA